UUUUUUUUAGUUGGAAAUCUUUUAGAUUGGAUCUUUCUAGCUAAAAAAUAGAGAGUGACUUAAGCAAAAAAGGGAGCUAGAAAGCAGGAAGUUCUUCGAUCCCUGCUUUCGAGAAGACUAGUAGUUCGUUUGAGUUUCGACUUUCGUUCGGAUCGCUGUUCGUGGUUUCAUUUUCGUGGUGGAAGGAUCGCAACUGCUAACUCGUUGUCCCCGUUCGCUGCACCCUUAAAGUCCUUUGGGACUUGGGCUUCUACCCUUUGCAUUACAAAUGGGCCAUUCAAGCCCAAUGUUUUCUUCUACCGAGUCGACCAGCUACAAAAAUGGGCGUACAGGUCCCGGAGUCGAAAAAAUAUUGGAGCAGACUAGAGAAUUGAAAAGAUUGGGCCAAAGGCCCACUUUUAAUUCCAAAUUUGUAUUUUGUUAUCUAUUGGGCCUAAGCCUAUUUAGUCGCUAUUCUAUAUUUUUGUUAGAAGCCUAGGACAGGUGAAAAUUUGGGCCUAAGGCCUAAAGAAAAAUAUAUGUUUUACGUUAGUAUAGGACAGGUGCAGGUGACUCGAAUGGGCCGAAGACCCAAAAUGAAAAUGGGCCCAAGUACUGGUCCAGGCGGACAGAAAAAACCAUACUUGGGCCAAAAUCUCUUCCCCUCUUUGUUUUAUUAUUUACUUGUUAAUAUUUGUCAUUAAUCUUAGGGUCGAAAAGUUCAAAUCCCC